AAUUAUAAGAAGAUUGUCCAUCAGCCCAUACUUGACACUAUCGACAAUCAAUCUCAAGAAUAUUCCAAAGGAUAAACUAUGGAAACUAUAAACACAAUAUUUACUGUAUCAAUCCCGCCCUCAAAUCUCUCUGCAUUAUCUCCAUUUGCCUGACUAUCAAUCAACAUUGAUUUCAAAUUCAAUCACAAUCAUAAUUUAAUCCUAAACAGAACCAAUAAUCUCGCAAUCAUCAACCACUCAAUCAAUAACGGAUCCUAUACGAUACCCUAAACUACUAGACCACUAUAAAUAAUCCAACAUUAAACACAUUCAUCACUCAUCAAGCAAAAAAACCAUUUCUCAAGCAUACAAGUCAUUAGAACAAGAAACCAAUGGUUGCAUCUUACGCUUACCUCCGAGAGACGUGAAGCCAAAAUCACUCAGUGAUGUCCAGAAGCAGCCAAGUCAUCUUUCAAAGAAAGAAGCUGUUCUAAUGAACAAACCUCGGUACCCAUAAGGGCUAUCAUUCACCUCACCCAAAAUCACCAAGCUCGACCCGACUAUUCCAAAGCACAAGCAAACAAAUUAAUUUUGACAUCUCCAAUGGUGACUCCAUUUACAAAGUGAGUGUUGAAAAGGAGAAAUCAUAUAUUAUUACCAAGCAAACUUCAAUCAUUAUGUGAGCGAUUUCAUCGACAGAUACAGAACUAUAUAUAUAUAUAUGAGUUUGUUUCUAAACUUUGUCGAGAUUGGUUGCUAAUAUCUUAGCUUCUUCCUUUUUUUUUUGGAUCAUAAAGUGGCACCUACGAAGCAAAACAAUUGUACAUAUAUAUAUAUAUAUAUGAAAUUGUCAAAUCUAAAUUCACUAAACAACCCAAACCUUGCCUGUAUUUUCUUCUAUUAACAAUCAUGUAAGAAUUUUUCUUGGCCAACCAA